rnacentral:rRNA from 1 species
UACGGGGGGGGCAAGCGUUGUUCGGAAUUACUGGGCGUAAAGGGCUCGUAGGCGGCCAACUAAGUCGGACGUGAAAUCCCCAGGCUUAACUUGGGAACUGCGUCCGAUACUGGAUGGCUUGAAUCCGGGAGAGGGACGCGGAAUUCCAGGUGUAGCGGUGAAAUGCGUAGAUAUCUGGAGGAACACCGGUGGCGAAGGCGGCAUCCUGGACCGGUAUUGACGCUGAGUGAGCGAAAGCCAGGGGAGCAAACGGG